GCAAGAUUAAAACUCAAAGGAAUUGACGGGGACCCGCACAAGCGGUGGAUGAUGUGGAUUAAUUCGAUGCAACGCGAAAAACCUUACCUACCCUUGACAUGUCUGGAAAGCCGAAGAGAUUUGGCCGUGCUCGCAAGAGAACCGGAACACAGGUGCUGCAUGGCUGUCGUCAGCUCGUGUCGUGAGAUGUUGGGUUAAGUCCCGCAACGAGCGCAACCCUUGUCAUUAGUUGCUACGCAAGAGCACUCUAAUGAGACUGCCGGUGACAAACCGGAGGAAGGUGGGGAUGACGUCAAGUCCUCAUGGCCCUUAUGGGUAGGGCUUCACACGUCAUACAAUGGUCGGGACAGAGGGUCGCCAACCCGCGAGGGGGAGCCAAUCUCAGAAACCCGAUCGUAGUCCGGAUCGCAGUCUGCAACUCGACUGCGUGAAGUCGGAAUCGCUAGUAAUCGCGGAUCAGAAUGUCGCGGUGAAUACGUUCCCGGGUCUUGUACACACCGCCCGUCACACCAUGGGAGUGGGUUUCACCAGAAGUAGGUAGCCUAACCGUAAGGAGGGCGCUUACCACGGUGGGAUUCAUGACUGGGGUGAAGUCGUACAAGGGUAACCGACUGGUUGCUCCCCACGAUUUUCGUGUCUGAGCGUCAGAAUUAU
rnacentral:rRNA from 1 species